rnacentral:ncRNA from 1 species
AGAACUGGCAAUCCGACAGGUGGAAUGAAGGGGUAACGCCCUGAAACGCCUGCCCUGAACUCCGACUGGCGUUCCAUGCGAAAGCGGGAGGGUCAGAAGCUCGGCAAAGGCGGCAGAGAGCUGCCGUAGCGUGAAUCAGCGGAAUGCCACACGCCGAAAGCUGUCCAGAGGUGGAUGGUGCAGCCUAUAUGCCGGGGGUCUAUAAA